rnacentral:tRNA from 1 species
GCCCUCAUAGCUUAGUUGGUAGAGCGUGCGCGUACAAAGCGUAGGCGGUGUCCAUGCGUGGCUUCAAAUCCCACUGAGGCUA